AGCUUUAGUUCUCUUUAUAUAACACUGCCCAGACAUUAAGGUCGUCCCUUCGGGGACAUCCGAUAAAAUUGGAACGAUACAGAGAAGAUUAGCAUGGCCCCUGCGCAAGGAUGACACGCAUAAAUCGAGAAAUGUUUACAGCUGGCCUUUGCAAAGGAUGUCAUGUCAGCCAUUGAGGGCUUUGGGAAUUAUAGAUAUGCUGUUUUAACCCCAAAUCUCAAAGGUUUUCAGGCUGCUAUGGCCGCUGGGGAAAAGGAAGUGGCAGUGUUUGCUGCUGUGUCUGAGUCAUUUUCCAGAUCAAAUUUAAAAUGCAGCAUCUAAGAUAGUCCUGCUCUGUACUGUGAUGUUGCCCUUGCUGCUAAAACCACAAAGUUCCUGUUCGUGGAUAUAUAUCAUGUGUUGUUGGUUGUCCUAUGGAAGGAGUAGUACCUCCAUCAAAAGUAGCAUAUGUUGCUGAAGAGCUUAUAAAUAUGGUGGGUUGUGCUGAAAUAUCCCUUGGUUAGACGAUUAGGUGCCAGCACUCCCAGUAUAAUUUUAAUAUUCCUUUUGAUCAUAGAAGUUCAAACUGCUGCGCUGCUUCUUGUAAUCUAUAUACAGCUUCUUCUUGUCUUGUGUUAGUUGUAGUAGGCUCCAGACACUCAUUCAAGAACUUUCCAUACCACUUGAAAAUUAUGAUCUGAUCUAGCAUUGUUUGAUAUGUAGGUUGCUAAGCAGUAAGAUUAGUCGAAGAUUAUUAAGUCAGAAGUAUGAACUUGCUAGCUUAGCUACAAUAUGCUUGUGUAUGAGUAUCUAGCUGUCUUUGUUUGUUUUCCAUCAUCUGUUAGAGAAAGAGGUGAUGGAUGACUGACAAUGGGCAGUAAAAACUGAAAAUAUAAUUGAUAUGUAAACUGGAACAAAACAAAUGAUAAUCCUCUCACGAGGCCCUAUGGUACAUUGCUCUCAAUCCUCAAGUAAGCUAUAGUAUAAUACUAUCAAAAGACUAAGGAAAUAAAGACAAAAUUAAAAGGUAGACUUAUAGACUUCUAACAUCUGAAGAGAGAAUUCUAGACUUCUAGCUCUUGAUGCGUAGCAUCAUCUAGGUACUGCCAUUCUGAUGCUUGAAAUUGUGCUUGAUGUUGUUCUUAUAGAGAAGCUUGCAGUACACUCUCACGACACAUACGGGCAAGCCCUUUCAGACAUUCUGUUAUCACUGAAAGUGAGCUAUCUUCCCCGGCUAGUUCUCAAGUUCCCAACAACUAACUGUUCCUCUUUCUGUUGCGUCCCUUUAUAAAUUUACCAAUUUUUCUAGAAUAUUGUAAUUGUGUGGGAUUGGUUUUGUUAUAUUGUCAUUUAGAUUUUAGAUAAGUGGUUUCUAAACAUGUGGGUCGGCCAUCGAGUUCUACAGCUGUGAUUUCCUUGAGCAUAACCUUGACUAAUGCUUCUAAGCUUUAAGGUUUCCCCGCUGCAUCACAUGGCGAAAAAGGUUUAUAAUGACUUUUCUCCUACCAAUAUACUUUCACUCUAUUCUCCCCCCUCUCCCUCGCUCUCUUCUCGUUCUCAGUGUCUUUUUGAUAUAAGUCCAUAAGAUGCUUAUGGUUUAUCUAAAUUCUAAGCAUAUGGUUUAUCUGUUUAUGGCAACAUAUAUUAGUACCUUUUGUGAACAUGGAUGC